AACGAACGCUGGCGGCAGGCUUAACACAUGCAAGUCGAACGCCCCGCAAGGGGAGUGGCAGACGGGUGAGUAACGCGUGGGAAUCUACCCAGAUCUACGGAACAACAGAGGGAAACUUCUGCUAAUACCGUAUACGCCCUACGGGGGAAAGAUUUAUCGGAUUUGGAUGAGCCCGCGUAAGAUUAGCUAGUUGGUGAGGUAAUGGCUCACCAAGGCGACGAUCUUUAGCUGGUCUGAGAGGAUGAUCAGCCACACUGGGACUGAGACACGGCCCAGACUCCUACGGGAGGCAGCAGUGGGGAAUAUUGGACAAUGGGCGCAAGCCUGAUCCAGCCAUGCCGCGUGAGUGAUGAAGGCCUUAGGGUUGUAAAGCUCUUUCAGUAGGGAAGAUAAUGACGGUACCUACAGAAGAAGCCCCGGCUAACUUCGUGCCAGCAGCCGCCGUAAUAC
rnacentral:rRNA from 1 species